rnacentral:rRNA from 1 species
GAAGUCGGAAUCGCUAGUAAUCGCAGGUCAGAAUACUGCGGUGAAUACGUUCCCGGGCCUUGUACACACCGCCCGUCACACCAUGGGAGUGGGAUGCAAAAGAAGUAGUUAGUUUAACCUUCGGGAGAACGAUUACCACUUUGUGUUUCAUGACUGGGGUGAAGUCGUAACAAGGUAACCCUAGGGGAACCUGGGGUUGGAUCACCUCCUU